rnacentral:lncRNA from 1 species
GUCCGAUUCUGUCAGACCCUCUGUUGUCUGCCUAAGUACUCCUUACUGCUCCACUGGUCAUAAAGGGCCUUUCAAAUAUCCCCCUACAUCUAGUGAUCCAUGAAAGACUUCAGUCCGAUGGUGAUUCAGAAUUGAAGAAUUCAAUAGCGGACUGUCUGAGGUGGUAUAGCCCAUCACGAAGCCGAUGUGUGGCGACCUCCUCAAAAGUCUG